AUUUUUAUAAAGCUGGCGGUACAAGUUAACGUUUCUUGUAUUCAACUCCCGUAACAUUUCAACAAUACAAGGCAAGAGACUUUCAAUAUUAGAUAACCAUAUUCAAUUUUUUUUAUUUGGAAGUAAAAUCAAAUGAUACCAAAAGUAUGACUUUCAAAACUUCAAAAAAGUUACUAGAACUGUAAUGCGUCCUUGUAAAGCGCAUUUGAACUGGUGCUGAGACUAAUUGCAGAAAGAAAAGAAACUACGCCUAAAAUAAGAACUUUUAUAAAAUUCAGCUACGGAUAUUCCUGAUAUUAUAAAAAUGAGAACUGCAGAUCAUUAUAAAGGAUUUAUCCAUCUCAGAUCAGGGCAUUUGAAUAAACAAGAAAAUCAACUUUAAUAACAGUGAACGUGACGCCUUUCUGCUGAGAUCAACCAGCUGUAUAUAAAUGUAGAUAUAAUGUCACUGUAAAUGCGGGGAAUCCACAAUCUACUGGAGUUUAAAAACACAAUGGCCUGUGAUACAACAAAAAUACGUUGAUAAAUCAUAAAUC
rnacentral:sRNA from 1 species